AUGGGCACCCGCUGGGCGGUCUCGGGUGCGGGGCUUUGAGGGAGCGAGCCGUGGAGGUGCCAUUCCAGGGCCCAGCGCUACCCAGAGGGGGGAAUCGGGCACCCUGACCCCUGGUGGGUCCUGGCACCAUCUGGCGGGACGCGGGGAUCGAAGGGAGGCUGGAGAGCAGCAUGGGCGCUGGCAUUGCCCCCAAGCUUGUCGUUUGGGGCGUUGGUUCCUCUCCGCCUCUCGCUUUUGUUUGGGUUGAGAGGUUGCCGAAAGCUACCCCGAAAGCGUACGAGCACUCAAGACACUCAAGAGGAUCACUGAAAGUUUGCGGCUAGCCUGGUUACAGUGAGUUCCAAGCUGGUCACAGCAAAGUUUGCCACCUGUUGCCAACAGAAGAAACUGUGUAAAAGUAUGGCCUGGAUCUUACAAACAGCUUCUUUCCUGGCCUGACGAACAGAGUCCUGGCCUCCAGUUUCCACAGAAU